UACGUAGGGUGCAAGCGUUGUCCGGAAUUAUUGGGCGUAAAGAGCUCGUAGGCGGUUCGUCGCGUCGGCUGUGAAAUCCCGAGGCUCAACCUCGGGUCUGCAGUCGAUACGGGCGGACUGGAGUUCGGCAGGGGAGACUGGAAUUCCUGGUGUAGCAGUGAAAUGCGUAGAUAUCAGGAGGAACACCGAUGGCGAAGGCAGGUCUCUGGGCUGACACUGACGCUCAUGCACGAAAGCGUGGGGAGCAAACAGG
rnacentral:rRNA from 1 species